rnacentral:rRNA from 1 species
AAAAGAAACUAACAAGGAUUCCCCUAGUAACUGCGAGUGAAGCGGGAAAAGCUCAAAUUUAAAAUCUGGCGGUCUUUGGCCGUCCGAGUUGUAGUCUGGAGAAGCGUCUUCCGCGUUGGACCGUGUACAAGUUUCCUGGAACGGAGCGUCAUAGAGGGUGAGAAUCCCGUCUUUGACACGGACCCCAAUGCUUUGUGAUGCGCUCUCAAAGAGUCGAGUUGUUUGGGAAUGCAGCUCAAAAUGGGUGGUGAAUUCCAUCUAAAGCUAAAUAUUGGCGAGAGACCGAUAGCGAACAAGUACCGUGAGGGAAAGAUGAAAAGCACUUUGGAAAGAGAGUUAAACAGUACGUGAAAUUGUUGAAAGGGAAACGCUUGAAGUCAGUCGCGUCGGCCGGGACUCAGCCUUGCAUUCUUGCUCGGUGUACUUUCCGGUCGACGGGCCAGCAUCAAUUUUGACCGCGGGAUAAAGGCGGGGGAAAUGUGGCUCUUCGGAGUGUUAUAGUCCUUCGUCGCAUGUCGCGGUCGGGAUUGAGGAACUCAGCACGCCUUUAUGGCCGGGGUUCGCCCACGUACGUGCUUAGGAUGCUGGC